GGAUUGAACCCAAUGCCUCACGCAUCCUAGGCGAGCUCUCUACCUCUGAGCCAAAACUCCAGCCCUAAAUUGCUAAAUUUCUAUGUCAACAAUUAUCAUCAUGUAAGUCACAUGUUUAAACCACAUCAUCAUUUGUAAGUUACCAUAUCCCAUUGUAUGGGUGUACUAUUAUUUAUAAAGCAAGUCACAGUAAUUUGGGCAUUUGGAUAGUUUGUAGAAUUUUGAUCUUAUGAUAAAAUUGUGAUGAUGAUCUUUGUGGUGAGACUGUGCUUGUGCUUCUGAUUUAUUUUCUAAAGUUAUACUUUAGAAUGAAGAGAGCUGGGUUGGAGGCUACACUCCUUUUUUUGCAGGGCCUCACAUAUGCUAGGCAAGCACUCUACCACUGAGCUACAUCUCCAGCUCUGGAAUACAUACUUUAAAAUUAACCUGGAUAGGCAAGAAAACAGAGUAUUGAUAUUGAGACUAAGAAAAUCUCUGGGGGUGCCUCUGGCCAUGUACAAUGUGGGAGGACUCUGGGGUCUAAGGGAGCUCUCAAGGUUUGCUAAAGAUGGGGCUAUGAAGCCAUUGGCUUUCUGGCUUCAGGCCAACCAGAGAAAAGCUGGGUUUGGGCUUCAUUAUCCAAAAUUUGGACAGGUCACUAUGUCUUCA
rnacentral:lncRNA from 1 species